UAACACGUAGGGGGCAAGCGUUGUCCGGAUUUAUUGGGCGUAAAGAGCUCGUAGGCGGCUCGGUAAGUCGGGUGUGAAAACUCGGGGCUCAACCCCGAGACGCCACUCGAUACUGCCAUGGCUUGAGUCCGGUAGGGGAGCAGGGAAUUCCUGGUGUAGCGGUGAAAUGCGCAGAUAUCAGGAGGAACACCGGUGGCGAAGGCGCUGCUCUGGGCCGGUACUGACGCUGAGGAGCGAAAGCGUGGGUAGCAAACAGGAUUAGAUACCCUGGUAGUCCACGCCGUAAACGUUGGGCACUAGGUGUGGGACCUCAUCAACGGGUUCCGUGCCGUAGCUAACGCAUUAAGUGCCCCGCCUGGGGAGUACGGCCGCAAGGCUA
rnacentral:rRNA from 1 species